rnacentral:rRNA from 1 species
UACGGGGGGGGCAAGCGUUGUUCGGAAUUACUGGGCGUAAAGGGCUCGUAGGCGGCCAACUAAGUCGGAUGUGAAAUCCCCAGGCUUAACCUGGGAACUGCAUCCGAUACUGGUUGGCUUGAAUCCGGGAGAGGGAUGCGGAAUUCCAGGUGUAGCGGUGAAAUGCGUAGAGAUCCGGAAGAACACCGGUGGCGAAGGCGGCCUGCUGGGCAGUAGCUGACGCUGAUGCGCGACAGCGUGGGGAGCAAACAGG